CUUGAGAGAUCAUCCCGGGCUUUGUCCCCUCUGCUGUAGCUGAGAUGUCCCUGGAGGACAUAGAACAACAAGACUAUGAUGUUUCUGACACUGAGACAGUCAGAGCCUUGUCCCAGUCUCUAGACCUGCCUGUCUGUGUGGUGGAUGACCACCUGCCCUCUGAAGCCGUCAAUGAGAUGGUAAGUUGACCAUUUCAUAUUGCAACAUUAAUCCAAUUAAAUGUAAACCGUUGACGUACCACAAUCAUCUCUGUUGUGUUGCAGUUGUUUAAAUUUGUCCAACGUUGCCAAUGCUCCUCCACUCUCUAACGGUUCAUAAUUCUUUCAGUAUGAUAUUUGUUGUAUAUGUUAAGUUUGACUCUGUUGGUGCCAUUAUUUGAGACACAUAAUGUUUAUUUCUACCAGAAGCAAAGCAACACUGUGGAAACCACAGAAGAGGAGAGCCUCAACAGUGCGAAAAAUCUUGAGUCUUUUUCACUGAUUAUCAACUUCCUGCAGAACUUAACUGAGGAGUAUGUUCUAUUUUCCUUGAUACAGUAGAGAGAAUAAAGUACCUCUAUCAAACCUGGAAAGCAAUAGGAUUAUAUGAAAGCAGAUUCAUCAACUACAUUUCCAGUGCGGAAAAAGUUACAUCAUACCACAAUGUUGUCAAAACAAUUGCUACAAAGUUUGUGUAAAAUACUGUCUAAUCUGAUGACUCUAUUGACCGACAUUUCUGACAAUAUUAACAAUAUUAAUAUUAAUAAUUCAUAUGAAUAAUUUUCAGGCAAUGGAGUAGGAUUCGUAAUGGUAUUUCUGACCCGGUAAGAUCUGAAAGCUUAUUCAGAAUACAAUGAUCACUGAAUGUUUAACCUUGUUCAUAAGCUUUUGAAAGACGUACUAUGCAACAUUUUAAAACACUUCUUCUGUUUCUGGAAUACAGCUGACAAAACAACAGCUUGCCGGCUUGUGUCUGAGGAUUGUCCAGUUUUUAUCGGACAAGCUGAUGCAGAUCAUCAUCCCAGGUCUUUACGAACUACUGGGCAUCCAAGAUGCUGCCUCCUCUCCAUUGUCACAGAGAUCUCUCACAGCGUCCCUCACCAGUCUGGAGGACGAUAAGGCUAACAACAAGUCCCGUGUGAGAUUUACUGAGGCCGGUGUACCUAAGAGGCAAGGCAGUCGAAAGUCUUACGCUAGCUUUCGCAUUCCGACUCCCUACCCUUCCUCCAACUGCAUGGAGCAAAAAGAGGAAGAAGAGCAGGAAUCACAACAAUUUAAGUUCAAGGAGAUUUACCUGACUAAGGAGAUGCGCAGUCUGGGCAGUGGAAGCUACUGCCCAAAACCAUUGCCCAUGCCAGCCAUGAGGUCUCAAACCUCUCUGUCUGAGGUGCAGAAGACAACCAACUCUGAGCCGCUACAAGUCCUUUUAGGUGUCUCAGAGGACACCCUCAUCACCUGUGUGCAGGACAGCCUGCAAGGGUCUCUCUCCAAACUUGCAUGCAUGUCCGAUUCUCCAUCUGGAAUUGCAUGCUCUCCGAAGAUGACCCCUGCUGUAAUGGCAGAAGUGAUUAAAGAUGUCAAGUCAUCCAUUUCAGUGGUGGUUAAGAGUGCCUCCGCGAGCCAAACCUCUCAAGUGACACCUGUAAGGGGAGACUCACAGACCAAGGUGACUGAGAGCAUGGUGAGAGAGCUGGCAGCUAAACUUGAAAAAGUUGACCAAGAGAGCAAGAGUCUAACAGGGCAAGUCAUAACCACCAUCUCUGACACAAUGGUGGCUUUUGUUGAUGAGAACGAACAGAAUUUGCUGAAAGAUCUGAAGGACAAGAUCACGUUUUUGGCAUCGCAUGUUGGCUUCAUUGACGAUCUUGAUGCCCUGAUAAGGAAAUACGAGAGCAGCUACAAUAUUAGUGAAUCUGGUUCCUCCUGCACGCUCACAUCUAAGAGCAUCCAAAAACUCUCCAGCCGGGAGUUUCAAACAUCAGCAAUACAAGCAGUGAGUGGAGUUCUUGCCAAAAAAGUCAGCAGUUUGAGCUUUCCUAGUUCAGUCGUUCAGUCUGAGUUAACAGGUGCUGUAUCAGGUCAAACAUUGUCUGGCAUUGUAAAGACAUUGUCAAUUCACCCAGUGGGCUCAGCAGCGUCAGUAGUUGUUAAGACUUUCGUGUCAGAUAUGAAGUCCUUGGCCGAAUCUGAAGAGAGUCCUCAACAGAAGAGUGUCUGGUCUGCUGCUGUUCACAUUUACCACAGCAUCCAAAACAACUUGAAUGAUUAUUUCAGCAAGCUUCAGAGAUUUGCCCUAAAGAGCAUUGUCACAUCUGAUGACAACACCACAAAUGCUGAGUUUAAGGAAACAGUUCCACUUCCUUGCUUAGACAUGAAAUAUAGGCCCAGUAAGAGUGAGCUUCAGUUGCCAGAGUCCACUGGUGAAGUUACUUUACAAAGAGGCCUAAGUGAGAACUCAAAACUUAUUUGGGCACAAACUGACUCAGAAGAAAGCAAGCGCCUUCUGACAACUUGCACCAAAGAAGUCAUCUCAGAGCUUCUGGUCUUGUACAACACUGAGAUGUCAAAGGAGGACCCCCCGUCCACUGUUGGAGAAAAAGGAUCAGACUUCUCUAUUGAGAGACAACAAUUUGUAGAGGGUGUUCUGGCUCAGCUUGGGGAUAUCUCCCAUUCCAGGGCCUCAUCACAAAUAGUAUGUGAGUUCCCCUCUCAAAUUGAGGACAGCAGAAGUAAGGCCACAGCUUCUUUGACCAGUCUGUUAGAUUGCAUGAAAAAACUCUCAAGUGAGGAAUUCAAGAGAAACACCACUCAAGCAGUGAGUGAGUUCCUAGUUAAAAAGUCCAACAGUAGCUUAACUAGUGCAAACACUGCUUAUACUGUAGCAUCCAGGUCUGGUUCCAUUCAAAACCAGAGCACCUUGUCAAAUGAUAUUUGUGUGGAUUCAGCUGCCUUUGGCAUCAUUGACACAUUUGUGGAAGACUUGCAAAACUUGGCACAACCAUUGGAGGUAUAUCAGAAAGAACCUGACCUCCAGGAAAAUGCACAAAAGCUACAGAGCAGGAUCUGGUCUGCUACCACUAGUUUAUAUAACAACAUUAAGAAGACAUUAAAGAACUUCACCAUUCGCCGGCGGAGGUCAGACGUGCAGAAAAGAAUGUCCAGCCAUACACCCACAGAGGACUCUGGACAUCUUGUGACUGAGGAGUACCUUGGUUUGGCAAGCCAGAACUUGAGGCAAGCUAGUAAGAGUGUGCCUCACUUGCCCAGUUUGAACCAGGAAGUGGCUCUACACAGGGGUGUCAGCGAGAGUUCAAAACUUCUCUGGACUGAAACAGACGAGAGUCUAAUGAACAAUAGUACCAAAGAGGUUAUUUCAACUAUCUUGACCUCAUGCGAGGCCGAGAUAUCAAAAGAACCUUUCUCCUCCAGGGUAGGAAAGAAAAUAUCUGAUAUGUCCCUUGAGGUCAACAUGUUGGUAGGUGGUGUUCUGUCUCAGCUGAAUAACAUCUCCUUGUCAAGGUCCCCAACACCAUGUGAAGACAUGUUUGAACGUCUCCAAGAUUCUCUUGAGCGAACCUCUCCAGUAAGUCUAGAUUGCAGCACGACUACCUCCAAAGGCAUUGCAUCUUCCCAUAGUCUUUCAACAAAGAGCCUCCAGAAACUCUCUAGUCAUGAGUUCCAAACCAAAGCUGAGAAAGUAGUGAGUAAGGUCCUCUCUAGAUCAUUUAACAUUGUGGAGGAAGGUACAACAGAUAAGUGCCUCCAGUCUGUAUCUACAUCCACCACAUCUACUGAUAUUAUACAAACCAUGGUGAAAGAUCUGCAGGAGCUCACCCAGACCACCCAAUCAUCUGACAUGGUAUCUGGAACCUCCCUGCUCACCACUGGACAGGUUUCUGAGAAAAUGAUCUGGUCUGUUGCUUGUAACAUCUACUACAGUCUGCAAAGUAAGAUUACGGAGUUUCUCAGAAAAGAUCUUCAAAUAUCAGACACAACACUUGGUUCAAUCAAAAUGUUUACAUAUCAAAGCAGUUCUGCACCACAAAGAGCUAAUCUCGGCCAUCUUGAGGUCAACCAGAGCAGUGUUACACCUGGUGGAAAAGAUGCCUGUGUGGACAUUCCGCAUAAUUUACUACCUAAAACCACUGAGCUCUCAGGAUCCAUGCUGGAGGAUAUUGGCACAAUCCGCUGUAGGAGUGCUGACAGCCAAAAGACAAGAAAUACAUCUUCUUCAUGCUCCUCCAUCUCUCUAACACCUACUUCAAAAUCAAAGCAGUCAGAAUGGGACUUCACCUUGCCCGGUGCUCCCAUCCCCACUGAAUUACCUGCUCAGAGUGACUUUCCCAUUGUAAGAAACAUGAUCAUUCAGGACCUGUUUCACACAAAAGACUUACUUCCCCCAUCCUUUGUGGACAAAGUCAGGCAAGCUGCUGGGGUGGUAGUGGACAAAAUGGUGGAAAGUGUUGAGAACACACAGGAAGAUGGAAAAGUUGCUUCUCAUCCUGACAACCUCCAAUCUGCUGUUAGGAAAUUGAGAAAAAUAAUUUCCACUGGGACCAUCCACAUUUUCAGUCAUGAAUUUGUGGAUAAAGUGAUAGCCAUUCAGGACAACCACAGCACUCCACAGGUCUUAACAUUGGCAGCAGCCAGAAGUGCUUCUGACUCCAUUCUUUCAAGGCUGAAAUGGGGAAAGGAACAAUGUACCGUAUCCAGGAAGCUCUCCUCUCAGCUUCUCCAGAUAUUCGCUGAAGAGACAGUGAGGGGCUUCCUAAAACAGUGGUCAGAUGAGUAUGAAGAUAUAAACAUUGAUGUUUCAGUCCAGAACAAACCAAGCACCUCUACUUGCAUGGUCUUUCCUAUCCAGCUCAAUCAGAGCAAGCCAAAGGAUAGUGACACAAUGAAUCAGCUCACCAAGGUCAUGGUCAACAAAAUGAUGGAUGCCUUAUCAGUUGGCUCAAGUCAUCAAAUGAUCACCAAAGCCAAUGCCAAAUGUUCUUUUGAGUCUGGUACCAGCAUGGCCACCAGUGACAUUGUAGAAGGGAUGUUGGAUUUGGUAAGGGAUACCACCAGCAGUACUGGAGAGCAGAUCCCCAUCUUCAAGUCCAAGAAAAGCAAGAAAAGCAUGUUUAGCAAGAUAUGCUUUAACACAAAGGGUUCCAAGAAAGUUAGCAAGGACCACUGUCCUCAAAAGUCUAUGGAGUACCAGCCUCAGAACACUUCCCCUACUGUGUACUUUACAGAGUCGAGGACAAAUUCUCAUGGUACCUUUGCUCCAGAGGGAAAUGACAUCGCAUAUUCCUUCCCACCUGAAGAGAAGAGUCGGAAACCCUCCCUUUUCACCAGAAUGUAUAGAGCCAUCACUAGAGGCUUCUCCAACCCAAGAUAAUUUUCCUCAUUAAAUGAGAUUGCAUUCAUUUGUUGUCAUAUGUUGAUUGUUUUACUAGCACAAACUGUAAUAUGUUCUGCAAUUCAUCCAAAUGCAUUGAGGAGUAUACCACCUCAGUCACAGGCCUCAUCAAUAAGUGGAUCGACAACGUUGUGCCCACAGUGACCGUAUGUACAUAUCCCCGACAGAAGCCAUGGAUUACAGGCAACAUCCACACCGCCCCCGCCGGUCGCUGGGGAGGGGUGGCUCCCAAACGGCAUCAUCCAAAUCCUCUGCAUCCUCCACUCUGUGGUGAAUAAAAUAAAGGGAUAUAUUGUUGUAAGACACAGAAUUACAGUUGACUAAAUUUACAAAAUGACAUUACUGUAAAGUAAAAACACCAAGCCUAAACUUUAUCUGUACAGUGACUCACAUAGAAGGUGUGAAACACACACAAUGCAAAAACAAAAACACUUCAAAGACAGAGGUGAGAACCAAAAAUAAACAAUCGCCAUGAGAGUUGAGUUACAAGGAUGAAAAUUAGAGCAGCAAACAGUGAACUAAUAUGAAACAUAGACAAUAACUACUUUGGAAUUAUAUAACAUUGAAAUCACUUGUUACAUAGGCCUAUGUAAACUAAAUCCAAAGCACAAAAAGCAGACAACUUAUAAAAAAAUGAAAUACAUAUAGUAAAUGAGCUAUAUAAAGUCCUGAAAAUAAUUUACUUACAGAUCUAAAAGUGGAUUCAAUCUUUCUCGAAAGCAAUCUUUGUCGUCUGAGUCGAAAUCCUCAUAGUUCAAAUCGCUCUCCUGAACCCGAGUCCUGCUCUCCUGAACCCGAGUCCUGCUCUCCUGAACCCGAGUCCUGCUCUCCU
rnacentral:lncRNA from 8 species